UGAAACUCUGUGUCAAAUAAAUAAAUAAACAAAAAGGACUUGCGGAUCCGCAGACCAAUCGGGAGUGGGCAGGUAGAAGACGCCCCAGGGAGCGUUUUUCCUUCUCCCUGUCUGCGGCACCGAACCUGUGGAGUUGGGAAAGGAGGGACCAAAAGUCCAUUCUCAGAGGCCAAGACGGGCCAGGUCCACCCUGGGGAGGAGUCGAGUCUGCCUACACGAAGGUGGACACUCACAGCCGCUCGGGAGCUUGGCAGGAGCCAACAGCCGCGAGAAGGGACGAAGCCAUGCAGACGGCGCCAUCUUGCCGAACCCAGCUGGCAGACGGCGGCAGUCCCAGCGCCCCCUGGCGGGCGGAAGUGCGGGGUCCGCCGGAGCGGUGAAUCCCACUAUGGCAGGUGCCUAGCAGCCUGGCCUUUUGUCUGUAAAGCAGCUAGAAAGGAAAAUAAAAAAGUUUAUCUACUUCUCA